GUGAAAACUUUUGGUUUCAGAAUGUCCCCGCGCCAAGUUUACACAUAGUAAAAAUUCUAACAAGCAAUAUUUCAAAUGGGAGAUUUCGGGAUGAAUGAAAAAAAUCAUCAUCUGCCUUCCUGAUGUAUUCUCACUGUUUUGCUGCCAAGUUUCGGCAUCUUCAGUUUUGUGGUUUGAUGUAGCAUUACUGCACGCCAGAGAAUGACUGGAGUUCAAUCAAGGGUUUGUGUAUGUGACCAGAGUUAAGUAGUGAAAUCUUGGUGACUGUCAUUAGCUCAAAUCUGAAACUUAAAAUGGAAAUGAAGAUGGAAGACAAGUCAUAUCCCUGUGAAUAUUGUGAAUGUAAAAUACAUUUGACGACACAUACUGGAGAAAAACUGUAUUCUUGUGAAAUUUGUGAAAAGUCAUUUUCUCAGAGUGCAAAUUUGAUAGUCCAUUUGAGGACACACACAAAAGAAAAAACAUAUUCUUGUGAAAUUUGUAAACAGUCCUUUUCUCAGAGUGGAAGUCUAAAGAGACAUUUGAGGACACAUACAAAAGAACAACCAUAUUUUUGUGAAAUUUGUAAAAAGUCAU